GAUCGGCUGGCUCAAUGGCAGAGCAUCUGUCUUCGGAACAGAAGGUUACGGGUUCGAGUCCCGUGUCGGUCU